ACCUGCAUUCGCAAGGGGUUGAGGUCUCACCCGUGACUCAGUUGUUGUUAGUGCAGGGAGAGGAGCUCCAAAAGCGUUUCCCGUGUUUGGUGGGUUCAAUCCCGUCCCUUCCAAACCCUGUAGCCUUCAGACA
rnacentral:snoRNA from 1 species